AUCCCAUGAUGAGGACACUUACGAAGUAACUCCUUGAAUAGCUCCCAAGCCUCAUACAAAGACUCGCCAUCCAAUUGUUGGAAAGUUAUGAUCUCGUUCCUCAACUU
rfam:Gossypium hirsutum cultivar TM-1 chromosome 11, whole genome shotgun sequence